rnacentral:rRNA from 1 species
UACAUGCAAGUCGAGCGAACUGAUUAGAAGCUUGCUUCUAUGACGUUAGCGGCGGACGGGUGAGUAACACGUGGGCAACCUGCCUGUAAGACUGGGAUAACUUCGGGAAACCGAAGCUAAUACCGGAUAGGAUCUUCUCCUUCAUGGGAGAUGAUUGAAAGAUGGUUUCGGCUAUCACUUACAGAUGGGCCCGCGGUGCAUUAGCUAGUUGGUGAGGUAACGGCUCACCAAGGCAACGAUGCAUAGCCGACCUGAGAGGGUGAUCGGCCACACUGGGACUGAGACACGGCCCAGACUCCUACGGGAGGCAGCAGUAGGGAAUCUUCCGCAAUGGACGAAAGUCUGACGGAGCAACGCCGCGUGAGUGAUGAAGGCUUUCGGGUCGUAAAACUCUGUUGUUAGGGAAGAACAAGUACGAGAGUAACUGCUCGUACCUUGACGGUACCUAACCAGAAAGCCACGGCUACUACGUGCCAGCAAGCCGCGGUAAUACGUAGGUGGCAAGCGUUAU